CCUACGGGAGGCAGCAGUGGGGAAUAUUGGGCAAUGGGGGAAACCCUGACCCAGCAACGCCGCGUGAAGGACGAAGGCCUUCGGGUUGUAAACUUCUUUGACCGGGGACGAACACAAUGACGGUACCCGGGGAACAAGCCACGGCUAACUACGUGCCAGCAGCCGCGGUAAU
rnacentral:rRNA from 1 species